rnacentral:rRNA from 1 species
UACGUAGGGUGCAAGCGUUGUCCGGAAUUACUGGGUGUAAAGGGAGUGCAGGCGGGACUUCAGGUCAGAUGUGAAAUUUAUGGGCUCAACCCAUAACCUGCAUUUGAAACUGGGGUUCUUGAGUGAAGUAGAGGUUGGCGGAAUUCCUAGUGUAGCGGUGAAAUGCGUAGAUACUAGGAGGAACAUCAGUGGCGAAGGCGGCCAACUGGGCUUUUACUGACGCUGAGGCUCGAAAGCGUGGGGAGCAAACAGG